rnacentral:rRNA from 1 species
GACGAACGCUGGCGGCGUGCUUAACACAUGCAAGUCGAACGGAAAGGCCCUGCUUGCCGGGUACUCGCGUGGCGAACGGGUGAGUAACACGUGGGUGAUCUGCCCUGCACUUCGGGAUAAGCCUGGUAAACUGGGUCUAAUACCUGAUAGGAGCCAUUUUUAGUGUGAUGGUUGGAAAGUUUUUUCGGUGUAGGAUGAGCUCGCGGCCUAUCAGCUUGUUGGUGGGGUAAUGGCCUACCAAGGCGGCGACGGGUAGCCGGCCUGAGAGGGUGGACGGCCACAUUGGGACUGAGAUACGGCCCAGACUCCUACGGGAGGCAGCAGGGGGGAAGAUUGCACAAUGGGCGCAAGCCUGAUGCAGCGACGCCGCGUGGGGGAUGACGGCCUUCGGGUUGUAAACUCCUUUCGCUAGGGACGAAGCUUUUUGUGACGGUACCUAGAUAAGAAGCACCGGCUAACUACGUG